UACGGAGGGGGCUAGCGUUGUUCGGAAUUACUGGGCGUAAAGCGCACGUAGGCGGCUUUGCAAGUUAGAGGUGAAAGCCCGGGGCUCAACUCCGGAAUUGCCUUUAAAACUGCAUCGCUAGAAUUGUGGAGAGGUAAGUGGAAUUCCGAGUGUAGAGGUGAAAUGCGUAGAGAUGUGGAGGAAUACCGAUGGCGAAGGCAGCCCCCUGGGAUAACACUGACGCUCAUGCACGAAAGCGUGGGGAGCAAACAGG
rnacentral:rRNA from 1 species